rnacentral:rRNA from 1 species
ACCUACGGGGGGCUGCAGUUGGGAAUCUUGGACAAUGGGGGAAACCCUGAUCCAGCCAUGCCGCGUGAGUGAUGAAGGCCUUCGGGUUGUAAAACUCUUUCGACGGGGACGAUAAUGACGGUACCCGUAGAAGAAGCUCCGGCUAACUUCGUGCCAGCAGCCGCGGUAAUACGAAGGGGGCUAGCGUUGUUCGGAAUUACUGGGCGUAAAGCGCGCGCAGGCGGUUCUCCAAGUCAGUGGUGAAAGCCCGGAGCUCAACUCCGGAAUUGCCAUUGAAACUGUAGAACUUGAGGACGAGAGAGGUGAGUGGAAUUCCCAGUGUAGAGGUGAAAUUCGUAGAUAUUGGGAAGAACACCGGUGGCGAAGGCGGCUCACUGGCUCGUUUCUGACGCUCAGGCGCGACAGCGUGGGGAUCAAACAGGAUUAGAUACCCCUGUAGUC